CUUGGCGACCAUAGCGUUGUGGACCCACCUGACUCCAUGCCGAACUCAGCAGUGAAACGCAACAGCGCCGAUGGUAGUGUGGGGCUUCCCCAUGUGAGAGUAGGACAUCGCCAGGC
rnacentral:rRNA from 1 species